rnacentral:rRNA from 2 species
UGUGGUUUAUUCGGAGGUACGCGAAGAACCUUACCAGGUCUUGACAUACUAUGCAAAUCUAAGAGAUUAGACGUUCCCUUCGGGGACAUGGAUACAGGUGGUGCAUGGUUGUCUGUCAGCUCUGUGUCGUGAGAUGUUGGGUUAAGUCCCGCAACGAGCGCAACCCUUAUUAUCAGUUGCCAGCAUUAAGUUGGGCACUCUGGUGAGACUGCCGGUGACAAACCGGAGGAAGGUGGGGAUGACGUCAAAUCAUCAUGCCCCUUAUGACCUGGGCUACACACGUGCUACAAUGGAUGGUACAACGAGUUGCGAACUCGCGAGAGUAAGCUAAUCUCUUAAAGCCAUUCUCAGUUCGGAUUGUAGGCUGCAACUCGCCUACAUGAAGUCGGAAUCGCUAGUAAUCGCGGAUCAGCAUGCCGCGGUGAAUACGUUCCCGGGCCUUGUACACACCGCCCGUCACACCAUGAGAGUUUGUAACACCCAAAGUCGGUGGGGUAACCUUUUAGGAACCAGCCGCCUAAGGUGGGACAGAUGAUUAGGGUGAAGUCGUAACAAGGUAGCCGUAGGAGAACCUGCGGCUGGAACA